rnacentral:misc_RNA from 1 species
UAACUGGAGAGUAAUUACAAUAGAUUAGUAUAAUAGAAUCUCCCUAUUUAAAUGCUGGACUAACCCAGUAACCCCUAAUUCUUUGCUUCUUACUCAAAAAAUUCCUCAUUCCUUGAAAUCAUUCUUGUCCUUAAGAAUGAAGAAAAUGCCUGAAAUUGAAAUGAAUUUCAGGUGCUUUCUUCUCAUCAGUUGACAGAACAGAAUUGAAAUCCCACAUAGCAUCUUCUGGUGGCUAGUUAAUUCGCUGAAUUUGGAAUACCAAAUGUUAGUUUCCAUCUUAUGGUUCAGUUGCAAUGUCCUAUAGAAUUGGACUAAAAGUUGCAAGUGAUAGUAUG